ACGAACGCUGGCGGCGUGCUUAACACAUGCAGGUCGAACGGAAAGGCCCUGCUUUUGUGGGGUGCUCGAGUGGCGAACGGGUGAGUAACACGUGAGUAACCUGCCCUUGACUUUGGGAUAACUUCAGGAAACUGGGGCUAAUACCGGAUAGGAGCUCCUGCUGCAUGGUGGGGGUUGGAAAGUUUCGGCGGUUGGGGAUGGACUCGCGGCUUAUCAGCUUGUUGGUGGGGUAGUGGCUUACCAAGGCUUUGACGGGUAGCCGGCCUGAGAGGGUGACCGGCCACAUUGGGACUGAGAUACGGCCCAGACUCCUACGGGAGGCAGCAGUGGGGAAUAUUGCACAAUGGGCGGAAGCCUGAUGCAGCAACGCCGCGUGCGGGAUGACGGCCUUCGGGUUGUAAACCGCUUUCGCCUGUGACGAAGCGCGAGUGACGGUAAUGGGUAAAGAAGCACCGGCUAACUACGUG
rnacentral:rRNA from 1 species